rnacentral:rRNA from 1 species
AGAGUUUGAUCAUGGCUCAGAUUGAACGCUGGCGGCAGGCCUAACACAUGCAAGUCGAACGGUAACAGGAAACAGCUUGCUGUUUCGCUGACGAGUGGCGGACGGGUGAGUAAUGUCUGGGAAACUGCCUGAUGGAGGGGGAUAACUACUGGAAACGGUAGCUAAUACCGCAUAAUGUCGCAAGACCAAAGAGGGGGACCUUAGGGCCUCUUGCCAUCGGAUGUGCCCAGAUGGGAUUAGCUUGUUGGUGGGGUAACGGCUCACCAAGGCGACGAUCCCUAGCUGGUCUGAGAGGAUGACCAGCCACACUGGAACUGAGACACGGUCCAGACUCCUACGGGAGGCAGCAGUGGGGAAUAUUGCACAAUGGGCGCAAGCCUGAUGCAGCCAUGCCGCGUGUAUGAAGAAGGCCUUCGGGUUGUAAAGUACUUUCAGCGGGGAGGAAGGGAGUAAAGUUAAUACCUUUGCUCAUUGACGUUACCCGCAGAAGAAGCACCGGCUAACUCCGUGCCAGCAGCCGCGGUAAUACGGAGGGUGCAAGCGUUAAUCGGAAUUACUGGGCGUAAAGCGCACGCAGGCGGUUUGUUAAGUCAGAUGUGAAAUCCCCGGGCUCAACCUGGGAACUGCAUCUGAUACUGGCAAGCUUGAGUCUCGUAGAGGGGGGUAGAAUUCCAGGUGUAGCGGUGAAAUGCGUAGAGAUCUGGAGGAAUACCGGUGGCGAAGGCGGCCCCCUGGACGAAGACUGACGCUCAGGUGCGAAAGCGUGGGGAGCAAACAGGAUUAGAUACCCUGGUAGUCCACGCCGUAAACGAUGUCGACUUGGAGGUUGUGCCCUUGAGGCGUGGCUUCCGGAGCUAACGCGUUAAGUCGACCGCCUGGGGAGUACGGCCGCAAGGUUAAAACUCAAAUGAAUUGACGGGGGCCCGCACAAGCGGUGGAGCAUGUGGUUUAAUUCGAUGCAACGCGAAGAACCUUACCUGGUCUUGACAUCCACGGAAGUUUUCAGAGAUGAGAAUGUGCCUUCGGGAACCGUGAGACAGGUGCUGCAUGGCUGUCGUCAGCUCGUGUUGUGAAAUGUUGGGUUAAGUCCCGCAACGAGCGCAACCCUUAUCCUUUGUUGCCAGCGGUCCGGCCGGGAACUCAAAGGAGACUGCCAGUGAUAAACUGGAGGAAGGUGGGGAUGACGUCAAGUCAUCAUGGCCCUUACGACCAGGGCUACACACGUGCUACAAUGGCGCAUACAAAGAGAAGCGACCUCGCGAGAGCAAGCGGACCUCAUAAAGUGCGUCGUAGUCCGGAUUGGAGUCUGCAACUCGACUCCAUGAAGUCGGAAUCGCUAGUAAUCGUGGAUCAGAAUGCCACGGUGAAUACGUUCCCGGGCCUUGUACACACCGCCCGUCACACCAUGGGAGUGGGUUGCAAAAGAAGUAGGUAGCUUAACCUUCGGGAGGGCGCUUACCACUUUGUGAUUCAUGACUGGGGUGAAGUCGUAACAAGGUAACCGUAGGGGAACCUGCGGUUGGAUCACCU